UACGUAGGGUGCAAGCGUUGUCCGGAAUUAUUGGGCGUAAAGAGCUCGUAGGCGGCUUGUCGCGUCAACUGUGAAAACCCGUGGCUCAACCAUGUGGUCUGCAGUCGAUACGGGCAGGCUAGAAUUCGGUAGGGGAGACUGGAAUUCCUGGUGUAGCGGUGAAAUGCGCAGAUAUCAGGAGGAACACCGGUGGCGAAGGCGGGUCUCUGGGCAGUAACUGACGCUGAGGAGCGAAAGCGUGGGGAGCGAACAGG
rnacentral:rRNA from 1 species